rnacentral:lncRNA from 1 species
AUUUAUUUAUUCACUUACUUAUUUCAGUAUAACUUAGAGGUCACAUACGGGAGCAUUGAAUAAAGGCGGCAUCGAAGAAAGAAGCACAAUCGCAAUGCAAAUCAUCAAGGGAAAAUGUGAAUAUACAGAAAAGUACACCGAAACAGAAAAACUGCGAGAGGUGUGUAAAAAGCAUGAUUGCAAAAUAGGGUUAAGAAUGAUAGUGAAAAUGUCCUGGAGUACAUAGGGACACGAAAACC